UACGGGGGGAGCAAGCGUUGUUCGGAUUUACUGGGCGUAAAGGGCGCGUAGGCGGUCAGCACAAGUCAGUUGUGAAAUCUCCGGGCUUUACUCGGAAAGGUCAAGUGAUACUGUCGGACUAGAGUACAGAAGGGGCAACUGGAAUUCUCGGUGUAGCGGUGAAAUGCGUAGAUAUCGAGAGGAACACCUGCGGCGAAGGCGGGUUGCUGGGCUGAUACUGACGCUGAGGCGCGAAAGCUAGGGGAGCGAACGGG
rnacentral:rRNA from 1 species